GACGAACGCUGGCGGCGUGCUUAACACAUGCAAGUCGAACGGAAAGGCCCUGCUUUUGUGGGGUGCUCGAGUGGCGAACGGGUGAGUAACACGUGAGUAACCUGCCCUUGACUGUGGGAUAACUUCAGGAAACUGGGGCUAAUACCGGAUAGGAGCUCCUGCUGCAUGGUGGGGGUUGGAAAGUUUCGGCGGUUGGGGAUGGACUCGCGGCUUAUCAGCUUGUUGGUGGGGUAGUGGCUUACCAAGGCUUUGACGGGUAGCCGGCCUGAGAGGGUGACCGGCCACAUUGGGCCUGAGAUACGGCCCAGCCUCCUACGGGAGGCAGCAGUGGGGAAUAUUGCACAAUGGGCGGAAGCCUGAUGCAGCAACGCCGCGUGCGGGAUGACGGCCUUCGGGUUGUAAACCGCUUUCGCCUGUGACGAAGCGUGAGUGACGGUAAUGGGUAAAGAAGCACCGGCUAACUACGUG
rnacentral:rRNA from 1 species